CCGGUUUGAACUCAGAUCAUGUAAAAUUUUAAAGGUCGAACAGACCUAAAAUUCUAGCUGCUACACCAAAACUUAAUUUUAAUCCAACAUCGAGGUCGCAAACUUCUUUUUCGAUUAGGACUCUUUAAAGAAAUUACGCUGUUAUCCCUAAGGUAAUUUAAUCUUGUAAUCAUAAUAAUGGAUCAAUAAAUCAUACAUUAAUGUUUUUAUAAAAAAAAAGUUAUUUAAAUUUUUCUAUCACCCCAAUAAAAUAUAAGUUUAUUAAAUAAAAAUAAAAUACCUAAAGGUUAAAUAAAAAAAUUAUAUAAAAUUCUAUAGGGUCUUCUCGUCUUUUAAAAUUAUUUAAGCUUUUUAACUUAAAAAUAAAGUUUUAAUUAAUUUAAAUAGAGACAGUUAUUUUCUCGUCCAACCGUUCAUUCCAGCUUUCAAUUAAAAAACUAAUUAUUAUGCUACCUUUGUACGGUCAAAAUACCGCAGCCAUUCAAAAAAUCAUUGGGCAGGUCAGACUUUAUAUUAUUAUCAAAAAGACAUGUUUUUGAUAAACAGGCG
rnacentral:rRNA from 1 species